rnacentral:rRNA from 1 species
AAAAAUGUAUAGUUUAUUAUUAGAGUAGUAAUAGUUAUGUUCUUGAAACUCAAAAAAUUUGGCGGUAUUUUAGUCUAUUCAGAGGAAUCUGUGGUGUAAUCGAUAUUCCACGUUGAAUCUUACUUAAAUUUGUAUUUCAAUUUGUAUACCGCCGUUAUUUAAAAAUUUUGAAAGAAUAAUAAUAUUUAAAAUUUUUUAUUAGAAAAUAAUUCAGGUCAAGGUGCAGUUUAUAUUUAAGUAUUUCAUGGAUUACAAUAAAAUUAUUUAAAUGGAUUAAAUUAUGAAAUUAAUUUAUGAAAGUGGAUUUGAUAGUAAAUUUUUAAAGAUUAAAAAAUUGAUU